AGAGUUUGAUCAUGGCUCAGAUUGAACGCUGGCGGCAGGCCUAACACAUGCAAGUCGAGCGGCAGCACAGAGGAACUUGUUCCUUGGGUGGCGAGCGGCGGACGGGUGAGUAAUGCCUGGGAAAUUGCCCGGUAGAGGGGGGAUAACCAUUGGAAACGAUGGCUAAUACCGCAUAACCUCGCAAGAGCAAAGCAGGGGACCUUCGGGCCUUGCGCUACCGG
rnacentral:rRNA from 2 species